UGGGGAAUUUUGGACAAUGGGCGAAAGCCUGAUCCAGCAAUGCCGCGUGUGUGAAGAAGGCCUUCGGGUUGUAAAGCACUUUUGUCCGGAAAGAAAUCCUUGGCUCUAAUACAGUCGGGGGAUGACGGUACCGGAAGAAUAAGCACCGGCUAACUACGUGCCAGCAGCCGCGGUAAUACGUAGGGUGCAAGCGUUAAUCGGAAUUACUGGGCGUAAAGCGUGCGCAGGCGGUUUGCUAAGACCGAUGUGAAAUCCCCGGGCUCAACCUGGGAACUGCAUUGGUGACUGGCAGGCUAGAGUAUGGCAGAGGGGGGUAGAAUUCCACGUGUAGCAGUGAAAUGCGUAGAGAUGUGGAGGAAUACCGAUGGCGAAGGCAGCCCCCUGGGCCAAUACUGACGCUCAUGCACGAAAGCGUGGGGAGCAAACAGGAUUAGAUACCCUGGUAGUCCACGCCCUAAACGAUGUCAACUAGUUGUUGGGGAUUCAUUCCUUAGUAACGUAGCUAACGCGUGAAGUUGACCGCCUGGGGAGUACGGUCGCAAGAUUAAAACUUAAAUGAAUUGACGGGGUCAUAGCUGUUCCU
rnacentral:rRNA from 1 species